ACUUUACAUACAUUUUCCAACCCGGAGCGGCUUCAACACAUGCAGCUCUUAGGCCCGGGCCGCACAUCUCAGAAGCCCCGUGUGCGACUUUGACUGCCGCACGAUCCUCUGCCGGGGGAGGUGGGCCCGCUGCGCUUUGGGAGCACCCGCGCCCGACACUGAGGUCUCGGUGCUGUCUUCGGCCUCUUCGCCCCUGAGGGUCCCCUCUGGGAGCAGAGGCGGUCGGAAAACCCUGGGGCUGAAGUGCAGGCUUCGGGAGGACGCGACCUGCCAAGAUCAGCUCCCGGCACGUGAUGGGAGCCUGGCUCACCUUCCCCCAGCACACGAUGGGGCUGCAGCCUCCCCGGUCAGCCUGGCCUGCUGGAAAGGAGCAGCUCUGUCUCCAGAGGCUUCUGGCGAAGCCCAUGGCCUCCCAAUGUUGGCUGAUUUAUAAGGAAAGAGGGGAAAGGCCAAGUGUGGAUGCCAUUAGCAUAACCUAAUCCAGACCCCAUGACAAGUCCAGGAUCCUGCAGGGAGAGGGCAUCCUUGAACGUGAAGGACUGGGUUUGGAAACUUGGCCUCCCGGAAGAAAGGUCUCCGGGCCCACCCACACCCCCCUUGUGGACGCCCCCGCAGUCUAAUACACUCCACAGUAAGACGGACCAGGAACAGCAGCAGCCUCCGGUGUCGGCCCAGUGAUCCGGGAGCUCAGAGUGUAGGUACCUGACGGCUUGACUCGUCCCCAGGACAAGGCCUGUGAGUGGGAGAGGGGCACUCUGAGUGUGCGAAUCUGUGAGAGUGUGUGUGUGUCUGGGCACGAGUGUGUAUGCGUGUGUGUGCAUGUAUAUUCACAUGUGUGAGGGUGUGAAUGUGUGUGUCUGUGGGUCUGGGCACAUGAGUGUGUGUGUGCAUAUACUACAUUCACGUGUGAGUGUGCAAAUGCGAGUGUGUCUGUAGGUCUGGGCACGUGUAUGCGUGUGUGUGCGAGUACUAUAUUCGCAUGUGUGAGUGUGCGAAUGUGUGUGUCUGUGGGUCUGGGCACACGAGUGUGUAUGCGUGUGUGUGCAUGUACUAUAUUCACGUGUGUGAGUGUGCGAAUGUGUCUGUGGGUCUGGGCACAUGAGUGUGUGCAUAUACUAUAUUCACGUGUGUGAGUGUGCAAAUGUGUGUCUGUAGGUCUGGGCACAUGUGUAUGCGUGUGUGUGCGAGUACUAUAUUCACGUGUGUGUGAGUGCGAAUGUGAGUGGGUGUGGGUCUGGUCACAUGUAUGUAUGCAUGUGUGCAUGUAUUAUAGUCAUGUGAGUGUGCAAAUGUGUGUGUGGGUCUGGGCACACAAGUGUGUAUGCAUGUGUUUCUAUUGUAUUCAUGUGAGUAUAAGUGCAAAUGUGUGAGUGUGUGUUCUCUGCACACACAAGUGUAUAGGUAUGUGUUUGUGUGUGCAUGCACUGUAUUCAUGUGAGUGUAUGUGAAUGUGUGACUGUGAGAGUUUGAGUGUGCCUGGGUGUCUGGCUAUACUAGUGCAUGUCUGUGUUCGUGUGCAUCAGUCUGGGUGUGCCCGUGUGUGAAUGUGUCUAUGCGUGGGUGUCCCAAUAUGUGUGUGCCUGUGUAUCCAUGUCUGGGUGUGCCUGUGAGUGUGAGUGUGCGCAUGGGUGUCUGGAUAUGUGAGUGCUUGUGACUACCUGUGUGUGUAUCCAUGUCUAGGUGUGCCCGUGGGUGUGAGUGUGUCUGUGCGUGGGUGUCUGGAUACGUGUGUGCCUGUAUGAGUGUGUAUCCAUGUCUGGGUGUGCCCACGGGUGUGAGUGUGAAUAUGUAAGUCUUGCGUGUGCAUGAGUGUGUUCACAUGAGUGUGAGGGUCUGUGCAUAAGAGCCUAUUGUGAGUGCAUGUGGAUUGCAUUUAUGUGAGUCCGUGUCUGUGUGCACGCACGUGUCCCCGCACAAGCCAGCCCGAGAGGGAGUGUCCCCUGAACACACCCUGGCAGCACUUGCAGCGUGAUGAGGUUGAGGGAAUGUGUCGCUGAGGUCGUAAAUGCCUCUCGCACGUCCCAACACGCUGGAGCAACAGCAGCCCGUGAUGCCGGCCGCGCAGCCGUGAAGUCCGUGGAGCGUCCCUAAUCACUGGGGGUUCUGCUUUGCGGUGACAGCGGUGCUACUCACAGCUCCAGAACUCUGCAGCUUCCCCCCUGAAACGGGAACGGGAAGGUGGCGCGGGCGUCCACACCUCGAGCCACAGCCGGCGGGAGGCACAGGCUGGCAAAACUGCCUCUCAGUAGUGAGAAGAGACAAACAAACCGAACGCCAGGAGCAGAGGAAACGAAGACGAUGUGGCCAAGAAAAAUUGCAUUUUUCUUUCCAGUUUUGCUAAAAUAGCCUUCUCAUUGGCUGCGGCUUUGGAGGUGGCAGAAAUCAUACGUUUAAUCACGGCGCCCUCCUGCUUGCCAAGGUUAGCAGGGGCUGUACUGCUGUGCCCUCCUGUCCCUGGAGGCUCUGGUGGCCCCACUCCCCACACUGCCAGGCUGGGUGCCACGCUGCCGUGACCCCGGAAUUCAGCCUGUGGUGAUCGGUCUUCCCUAGCACGGAGCUGAGUUAGGGGCUCUAGAAUCAGUCCCAGCCACGUGAGGCUCUCCCUGGGAUGUGAGGGUCGUCUCGUCUGUUUACACGGGGGCCACAGUGCAGAUCCCAGCCCGGGCAGGGGAGGGGCAAAUCUAUGCCCACUUCAAGCUUCCACUUCUGCCCGCCUCAAAGUGCCGGAGACUCCGGCACCUCUGCGUUCCUCCUUCCCGGUAGGAACAGAAAGCUGGGAAAGGGCUGGGGUGGCAAGGAAGAGCCCCAGGAAGACGGGAGUGGCUCUCCCCACUCCCUAGAGGACCUCCCUCCCCCAAGCCCAUGGGCCGCCUUCUCCAGGGACUCUUCCCUGUCCCACCCACCGGGCAAGGUGGGCCCAGCAGGGUCUCCUUUUCACCGUGCGCCCCCUCCUGUGGCCGGGUCCUGGGCUAAUGACCUCACAUGCUGCUUUUACAAGUCAGGUUUAUUGCGGUAUCACGUACACACAUAAGGCUCACCCGUUUUCGAUGUACAGCCGACGACUUGGUAAGGGUCUAGAGUGGGGCACUUCUGCCCCGACAGAGGCAGCCCACAUUUUGCCCCUCUGCAGUCAGGCCCCUUCCCGGCCCCCAACCACCACCUGUCUCUCCUCGCUCCUACAGCUUUGCGUCCUCCAGAAUUGUCCUGUGAGUGACUCCCGCAGGAUGGAGACUUUUGUGUCUGGCUUCCUUCACUUCGCAGCAGGCUUCGCGGGACCCGUGUGGUGGCACCAGCGUCCAGCCCUUGGUACUGCUGAGUUGUAGGUUGUGGGACAGGUGGAGGUACCACAGUUGCUCACGGGUUCACCUGUGGAUGGGCAUGUGGGCUGUUGUGAGUGAAGCCACUUCAGACGUUUGCGUGCAGGUUUGGUGGGGACGUGCAGUUUCAUUUCUUUUGAGAGUGGGAUUGCUGGAGCCUAUGUUAAGGGUACGUUCAACUCAUCAGCUCAACUGUCUUCCAAAUGGCAGCCCCGUUUUCCACCCCCGCCAGCAACGCCCGCGACUCCAGGCGCGCUGCAUUUUCAUCAGCACCUGGCAGUGGUGAUUCAUAAUGCUUUAAAUGUUAAUUUCCCUCAUGACUAGUGAUGUUAAACAUCUUAUUAAACAUCUUAGGUAUUAUUUCAUGUGUUAUUUCAAAUCUUUUACCUACUUUUUAGUGGAUUAUAUUUGUCUUCUUAGUAUUGAGUUCUAAGAGUUAAAUAUUGUGGGUACAAGUCCUCUAUCAGAAAUGUGUUUUGUAAAUACUUUCUUCUAGUCUGUGGUUUGUCUCUUCGUUUUCUUAAGUAUGUCUUUAAAGAGCAGAGGCUUUUGAUUUGGAUAAAGUUCAGCUUGUCAGUUUUUUCUUUUAGGGUUAUGUUUUUGUAUCCUAUCUAAGAAUCUUUGACUAUCAAAUUCUCACAAAGCAGUUUUUUGUUUUCUUCUAGAUGUUUUACGGUUUUAAAUUUUACCUUUAGGUCUACAACCAUUGUGAUUUAGAUUUUGUAUUUAAUGUAAGGUAUAAGUUGAGAUUCAUUUCUCUCUGUUUUUGGAGACUUAUGUCCAGCUAUUCCAGAACCAUUUGUUGGAAAGAGUAUCUUUAUCCCAACAAGUUAUGUGGGCACUUUGUUGAAAAAGAUCUAUUGACCAUAUAUACAUGCGUUUAUUUCCAAGACUCUAUUUUGUUCUGUUGACCGACUUGUUUGUCCUUAUGACAAUAUCACACUGUUUUGAUUACAGUGGCAUUAUUGUACCUCUUGCAAAAAUCAAGUGUGAAUCUUCCAAAGAAGAUUUGGAAGAUUUUCUCUUUCAAAGUUGUGUGAGUUAUUUAAGUGCCUUUUCAUUUUCAUAUAAGUUUAGAAUUAGCUUGCAGUUUCUAAAAGAAAAAAAAAAAGGCUGAUGAGACUUUGAUUGUGAUUCCAUUGGAUCUAUAGCUCAGUUUGCAGGGAUUUACAUCUUAACAAUACUGAGUCCUCAAAUCCAUGAACAUGGUACAUCUCUCCAUUUAUUUAGGUCUUCUUGUAUUUUUUCUCAUCAACAUCUUAUAGUUUUAAGUAAACAAAUUUUGCACAUAUUUUGUAAGAUUUAUCAUUAAGUAUUUCAUGUUUGUGAUGUUAUGGUGAAUAUUGUUUUUAAAUUCAAUUUCCUAUUGUCCACUGCUAGUAUACGGAAAUACAAUUGGUUUUCAUACAUUAACCUUAUGUCCAGCAACUUUGCUAAAUGUAUAAGCUCUUACACAUUUGCUGGUAGAUUGUUUAGGAUUUUCUACAUAGAUGAUCAUGUUGAGUGCAUAUAAAGGCAAUUUUAUGUCUUAUUUCCAAUCUGCAUGCCUUUCACUUCUUUUCCUGGCUUUAUUUCAGUGGCUAGAACCUCUAGCACAGUGUUAAUAAGAGUGAUGAGAGUGACAUUCUGACUUUGUUUCCAGUCUUUCUGCUUUGAUCAUUAUCAUAUUCUUUCUUUUCCUUACUUCGAAUUUAUUGUGCUCUUCCUUUUCUAGGCUUUUAAGGGUAGAAGCUUAGAUUACUGAUUGGAGAACUUUCUUCUUUUCACAUAUAUACAUUUAAUGCUAUAAAUGUUCUUCCAAGCACUGCCUUGCCAGCACCUACAAAUUGUCAUAUGUAUUUUCUUUUUUGCUCAAUUAAUUUUUUUUUCUAAUUUCUCUUUGGAUUUUUUGAUCUAUGAGUCAUUUUAAAAUAUGUUCUUUAACUUCCAAAUAUUUGAAGAGACAUACUAUUAAUUUCUGGCUUAAUUCUGUUGUGGCCACAUAUUUCACAUAACUUCACUUUUUAAAAUUUGUUGAGAUCUGUUUUAUGGCCUGGAAUAUGGUCUAUCUUGGUGAAUGCUCCAUGUGCAUUUGUACAAAAGUGUGUAUUCUGGCCAGGAGUGGUGGCUCACGCCUGUCAUCCAAACACUUUGGGAGGCCGAGGCGGGUGGAUCACGAGGUCAGGAGAUCAAGACCACCCUAGCCAACACAGUGAAACCCCGUCUCUAUUGAAAAUACAAAAAAUUAGCCAGGCGUGGUGGCGGGCACCUGUAGUCCCAGCUAUUCGGGAGGCUGAGGCAGGAGAAUUGCUUGAAGCUGGGAGGCAGAGCUUGCAGUGAGCUGAAAUCGUGCCACUGCACUCCAGCCUGGGCGACAGCGAGACUGCGUCUCAAAAAAAAAAAAAAAGUGUAUAUUCUGCUAAUAUUGAAAGUAUUGCUUAAUAAAUGUCAAAUCAAUCAAUUUGGAUGAUAUUGUGAUUCAGGGUUCUAUAUCCUUACUGGUUUCCUGUCUACUUGUUCUAUAGCUUACAGAGAGGAGUAUUGGAGGAGUAUUGAAGUUUCCAACGAUACUCAGGGAUUUUUCUAUUUCUUCUUUACUUUGUGAUCCAUGUGUUUUGAAAUUCUGCUGUUAGGUGCAAGCAUAUUUACAACUGCUAUAUUUUCCUACAGAAUGGCACUUUGUUUGUUUGUUUGUUUAUUUUUUGAGACAGAGUCUCACUCUGUCACCCAGGCUGGAGUGCAGUGGGACCAUGUUGGCUCACUGCAACUUCCAUCUCCUGGGUUCAAGCAAUUCUCCUGCUUCAGCCUUCUGAGUAGCUGGGAUUACAGACACCCACUACCACGCCCGGCUAAUUUUUUUAUAUUUUUAGUAGAGAUAGGGUUUCACCAUGUUGGCCAGGGUGGUCUCGAACUCCUGACCUCAGGUGAUCCGCCCACCUCGGCCUCCCAAAGUGCUGGGAUUACAGGUGUGAGCCACCGUGCCUGGCCAGAAUGGCACUUUCAGGAUCAUAUAAUGUAUCUAUUCAUCUCUGGUAAUAUUCCUUGUUCGGACGUCUAUUUUAUCUGAUACUAACAUCUCUGCCCCAGCUUUCUUUUAAUAGUUCAGAAUAUAACUAUUUCUGUCCCUUACCUUCAAUCCACUUAUGUUUUUAUGUUAUUUUUUUUCUUUUGUAGACAGCAUAGAGUUGGAUCUUGUUUUUAUAUCUACCCAACCUAAAAAUCUGGAUAUUUUUAUUGGGAAGUUGAAUUUAAAUCUACCACCUUGACACUUAUUUUGUAUUGUCUCAUCUGUUCUUUUUAAAUAAUUUUUCCUUUUUUCUUCCUUCUAUUGGAUCAAGAACUUUUUUUAAAGUGAAAGCCAAUUUAUUAAGAAAGUAAAGGAAUAAAAGAAUGGCUACUCCAUAGGCAGGGCUGCUGAGUAUUUUUUUAUUAUUUCAUUUCAUCUUCACUAUUGCCUUGUUAUACCUCUUAGUGUAGCUAUUCAUGGUUGCAAUAGGGCUUAUGAUAAAGUUACAGCUGUAGCUUCUCAGUCUGCCAUUACACAAUAUUCUACCACUUCACAUACAUGUAGUAACCUGACAGCAGCGCCUGUACUUCCUGCCUCCCAUCCUUGGUACUGUUGUUACCACAGAUUUGCUUCUGCAUGUUACAAACCCCACAAUACACUUUUCCCGUCUUUGCUUCAGGUAGUCAAUUAUCUUUUUGUUUGUCUUUGGAUAUCUUUUUAAAGAUAUAAUCCACAUACGUAAAAUGCACCCAUUUAAAGCAUGCAGUUCCAGAGACCAGAGGUUCUCAAACUCUGUAUGGGAAUCACACAGGUUCCUGGUAAAAGGCAGACUUCCAGGCCCCUGCUGGAGUUUCUGACUCAGCAGGUCUGGGUGGGGCCUGAGAAUCUGAAUUUAUAGCAAGUUCACAGGUGAACAUUUGUGUGGCUAUCAAGGGACACCUGGGGCCGGGCAACUUCUAAAGAAAAGUGGUCUCUUUGGCUCACAGUUCUGCAGGCUGUACAAGAAGCCUGGCAACAGAAUCUGCUUCUGGUGGGGCCUCAGCCUGCUCCCACUUAGGGUGGAGGGUGAAGGGGAGCCAUGUGUGCAGAGGGCACAGUGGGAGAGGAAGCCAAAGGGAGGGAGGGGCCACGCUCUUUUAACACCUGGCUCACGCAGGAACUAAUUGAGCAAGGGCCCGCUCAUGACUGGCAGGUGGGGUCGGCAGGAAGCCAUUCCUGAGGGAUCUGACCCUUGACCCAAACCCCUGUCCGUAGGCCUCACUCCAACACUGGGGAUACAUUUCAACAUGAGAUGUGGAGGGGACACACGUCCAAACCACAGCACCAGGCAAUGCUUACACUGCGGGUCUGGGGCCCACUCCGAGAAUUACUGCUCCGGACAAAAUUACACACACGGACCAUGCACCCACCCACAGGAUCACACGCCCGUCUUCGGGUUGGGGGUGCAGGGAGGACGGGUAGAGAUGUGUUGGGGUGCAAAGGAAAAGUCCUCAUGGCCCACAUAUGUGCUCUGACCCCGUGGCUCUGCAGAAACCCAUGAAAGAGGAUCCUGAAAGAGCAAGGGCAGCCUCCAGGUGAAGGUGGUGGGCGGCCUCCAGGUGAAGGCGGCCUCCAGGUGAAGGUGGUCAGCACCCUACCUUUGGCCAAGAGCAGACUGCAGUUUCAACUCAAAGAUUAUUCCUGAAUGAGUGAGUGACUGCAUCUCUCUUCUCCUCACCCCUGCUGUGGUUGUGUCUCCUCUUCAAGAAAAACCAAUAUGUGGAAAGGCCUAAGUCUGCACAAAACAAAUAUUUAUUUUACAAAAUAUUGUUUUUUGCUUUUCCAGUGCAGCAAGCUUAAACUUCCUUAAAAACAAACCUCUGGGAAGAGGAAAAUGAGGCAAGAUGCUGAGAAAAAGUCAUCUCCCACUCUGCCCUUCUCUGGCAAAUCGAAGUGUCCUCUUGUGGGAGGCGGUGGGCAGCGACACUCCCGUUGGACGUCAGUGCUCUCGGGCCCGGCCACCCCGGAGCAGAACUCACUUAGGGCCUGGUGCCCCUGUGCCCAGUUCUCAGAAUGUCGGAGUGCUCAGUUCUCAGAACGCCGGAGUGCCCCAUUCAUAACCUGCAGCCCCGUUCAUAGCCUGCAGCUCCCCUCCUUCCUCUCCUCCUGGUCUUCAGGGAGCACCCCCAGCUCCCCUCCCCACUCUCAAACCCUCCUCCUCCCUCCCCUCUCUCAGUUCCCUGUUUGCAGGAUCUCCUCCUGCCCACUCUCCAGCCCAGGUCCUCCCCUCUCAUCUCCAAUUCUGCUUCACGGGCCAUGACAGCAGGCAGGCCAUGGCCUGCUCUCAGCAGUUUGAUCGAUGGACUAAGGAGAUCACUCCUACGAGAGUGAAAAAGUCAAGUGUGCCUGAGAUUCGGAUGGGGAGCUCUCAAAGCUAUGGAUUGCAAGAGUCAACACCGCCUCAAAAGUACAAGGCCGGCCGGGUGCAGUGGCUCACACCUUUAAUCCCAGCACUUUGGGAGACUGAGGUGGGUGGAUCACCUGAGGUCAGGAGCUCAAGACCAGCCUGACCAACAUGGUGAAAUCCCGUCUCUAUUAAAAAUACAAAAAAAAUUAGCCAGGUGUGGUGGUGCAUGCUUGUAGAUCCAGCUACUCGGGAGGCUGAGGCAGGGGGAGCACUUGAACCCGGGAGGUGGAGGUUGCAGUGAGCCGAGAUUGCGCCAUUGCACUCCAGCCUGGGCAACAGAGUGAGACCCUGCCUCAAAAAGAUAAAAAAAUAAAAGUACGAGGCCCGGUUUAAAUGCAGGAGGAAUCUGGUGAGCGAGUUUCACUCUGAUGCAACAGAAAAGCCAAGCCAAGCCUUGGCUGUGCCUGAUCUUGGCCGGGGAGCCACAGGCAGGGUCUGCUGGUUUCGGUGUCAGGGGCACAUCGCCAGGACCACGUGUGAGAUGGGAAGUGCCUUGAUGGAAAACUGAUACCUUUUUCUUUCCGAGUAACUUUAGAAUAUGUCGCUUCAAAUAUAACUAAUAUCCUGAUUUCAAUGGACUUGCAUGGAAGGAAACGCAAGUUCAUUUGCCAGUGGGGGGUGAGGACUGGGAGAGUGGGGAGCAGGGUGGGGAAGAGGGGACCAUUCCACAAGCUGCAAGAGCCUGGACACCUCCAGCCUUCAAUAAAUAGCAUUUGAAUUUGCUGUGCCUAAUUCAACCUUGCAUUUGUGUAGUGAAAGUCAGGCCCACGGUGUGUAUAGUUUGGCACAUGAGUUCAGCUCGGGUCCCCUUGAUCUGCUUCUAUGUUCUCACUCUCUCCCUGCCCGGCAUGCCCCUCUUUUUCUAUCCAGAUGAGCGAAGGGGUGAAUUAGUCCAGAAAUGUUUCUGCUCCAGUCAAACAAACAUUAUCACCUGUCAGUCAAACAUUAUCACCUGUCAGUCACCAGAGACGUGCACAGGUGCCUUCUCCUUUGCCUCGAGGUUUCUAUGACCUGGGAAAAGCCCAUCCCAUUCCCGGAUGAGGCUUCCCUGCGACCGGCCACAGACACACGAGCUACGCCCCGCCUUGCCAAAACUUUCAAGGUGGGAUGGAAGAAUCUGUCGUUUCUGCAUUUACGACCCCGUACGUGUUCCGUGCUGCAUCUGUUCUGGUUGGGUUGUCUCUCCUCUCAAGGCCUCUUUUGACCCAAACUUACUGCAAAGCAGAUGAGUGAGCCAGAAGCUGCGCUGGGCGUUGGGGGUUGUGGCAGAGGCUGGGGCUGUAUGUGGGCCGGCAGGCCACGGGCCGACCCACCGCAGGCAGCUUAGCAACCUGCCAAGGACAAACACAUGGUCAUCAUGAUAACAACUUCCCCACCUUCAUUUUUUUUUCAUAUUUCUUUGAGUUUCAAGAUUGAGACUUCUUGUAGCAGCUCUUUAAUUUCAUGGGAGAGAGGGUGGUGUGUGGAGGCCGCCAUUGCCUCUCUGCUAUCCAACGCCCUAGUGGAGAAGCUCCUGGCAGGGGCUGGAGGCAUGGCCUGGCCAAGCUCCUUGGCACUGCAGAACAAAUCUCCUUCUUUGACGCCUCUGAAAUGUUGAUGGAAAGCACACGGGUGUCCCAGCCAGCUCCCCCAGGCCCAGGUCCAAUCCAUCAUGUUCUCUGCACUGCACAUCUCUGGGUGGAUGGCCUCAAGGAGCAGCGCCAGUGAUGUCAGCUCACUCUGGCAUCUCCCAAGACAAAAGCAUCCCAGGGUGGAGAGCAGGAGGCCCUGCGUGAUGAUGGACAGAAGGCUGGAACUUGUGAGCUCCGUGCAGUCUGGUACUAAUAACUCAGGAUCCCCAUCUAAUGGAAGCAUUUUAUGAGCUUCGGUGGGUGCAGGGUGCCAGACGUCCUCAGGCCAUCAGGCUGAGACCCCCCAGCCCUCUGGGAGUGGAGUAGCCCUGGGGUGGCAGGAGGCAGGUGGGAACUUCUACAAGCAAGAGGGCCUGGUUUGAGUCAGCUUCACCACACACUAGCCACCUGGUGUUUCUGAGCCUAUUUGUCGUCUAUGACUUAGGAAGGAUAAUCAUACAGAUUAAGGUAGGAUAAUUCCUAGAUCAUCAUAGAGAUCAGGGCAGUGUCCUCCAACUCCAGAAUUAAAAGGACCAGUGAAACGGAUUUCCUCUGUUUCUGUUUUACUGAUUCUUCCUUUUUUUCUCUUCUCCUUUCUGGGUGGUUGAGUUUAAUUUGCUCUUCUUUCUCUAGUUUCUCAAGGUGAUAACUGAUUUGGGACCUUUUUUCUCUUCUAACAUAAGCAUUGAAUGCUAUACAUUUCCCUCUGAAGUGCGGCUUUAACUGAACUCUAUACAGUGUGAUGGAUUGCAUUUCCGUUUUCAUGCAGUUCCAAAUAUUUUCUAAUUUUCUUAGUGAUUUCUUCUUUGAAACAUGAGUUAUUUAGAAGUGUGUUCUUUAAUUUCAAAUAUUUAGGUAGUCUCCAGACAUCUUUCUGUUACUGAUAUCUAGUUAAAUUAAUCCUCUUGUGGUCAGAAAACAUAUAUUGUAUGAUUUUAAUCUUCUUAAAUUUAGUGGUAUCUAUUUCAUGGCCCAGAAUAUAGUCCACUUUGAUGAAUGUUCCAUGUUUAUUUUGUGGUUAGAGGGAAUUUUCUGUAAGUGCCAAUUAAGGAAAGCUGAUUGGUAACGUUCUUCAAGUCUUCCAUAUGUUACUGACUUUCUGUCUGCUUAUUCUAUCAGUUGUUGAGAGAGGGCUGUGAUGACUUUCUGAUGUGUCUGUUGGUGAGGUUACAGUCCCAGUUACCCAAUCUAAAUCUAUUCUAGGUGCUACUGUGCAGGGAUUUUGCAGGUGUCACUAAAGUCUAUAAUCAGUCCAUGUUAAGUAGGGGAGAUUAUCCUGGCAGGGCCUGACUUAAUCAGUCAGAAGAUCUUAAAAGCUCAGUAAGCCUUUCCCAAAGGAAAGAAGAAAUUUCUCCUAUGAACAACAGCUCCAGCUUGUGUCUGUGUCAUGUCAGCCCAUGUUCACACUUGCAGACAGCCCUCACAAUUACAUUAGCCAAUUUCAUUUACACACACACACACACACACACACACACACACGGUUGACCCUAGAAUAAUGCAGAGGUUGUGGUGCCAACCUUUGCACAAUUAGAAAUCUGCAAAUAACUUUUGACUCCCCAGAAACUUAACUACGAAUACCCUACUGUUGACCAGUAGCCUUACCAAUAACAGAAAUAGUUAUUAAUACAUAUUUUGUAUGUGUAUUAUAUACUGUAUUCUUACAAUAAAGCUAGAGAAAAAUAUUAUAACCAUAAGGAAGAGGAAAUAUAUUUACUAUUGGUAAAGUGGAAGUAGAUCAUUGUAAAGGUCAUCAUCCUCAUUAUCUUCACAUUGGGUAGGCUGAGGCAGAGGAGGAAGAAGAGGGGACUAAUCUUGCUGUAUCAGGGCUGGAAGAGGUGGGAGGAAAUCCACCUAUAAGUGGACCCUGCAGUUCAAACCCAUGUUGUUCAAGGAUCAACUACAGAUAGAUGAUAGAUAGAUAGAUAGAUAGAUAGAUAGAUAGAUAGAUAGAUAGACAGACAGACAGACGACAGACAAAUUCUGCUCCUCUGGUUACACUCUGACUGAACUGAUACAGGGGUACUGAAGCCUCCAGCUAUAAUUUUGAAUUUCUCUAUUUUUCUGUUCAGUUCUAUCAAGUUUUGCUUCAUGUAAGUUAAGUUGUAUUUAAGAAUGUACAUAUUUAGGAUUUUGUGUCCCCUUCAUGAACUGACAACUUGAUCAUUAUGAAAUAACUGUCUUUAUCUCCACUAAUAUGCUUUGCUAGCAAAUCUCUUUUGUUUGCCAUUAAUAGAGCCACUCUAUCUUUCUAUUGAUUAGUGUUAGCAUGAUAUAUCUUUUUUCUACCCUCUUACUUUUAACCUACUUGUGCUUCAUAUUUAAAUUGCAUUUCUUGUAGGCAACAUAUACUUCGGUCUUCCUUCUUUACUGUAUCUUACAAUUGUUGUUCAUAAUUUGGAGGUUAGAUAAUUUACAUUUAAUGUAAUUAUUGAUUAUGUUUGAUUUAAAUUUAUCUUCUUGCUAUUUGUUUUCUAUUUUCCCC
rnacentral:lncRNA from 1 species